rnacentral:siRNA from 1 species
AAUGUCAUGAAUUCCUCAACUCCU